rnacentral:rRNA from 1 species
CUACGGGCUGCUCCAGUCGAGAAUCUUCGGCAAUGGACGAAAGUCUGACCGAGCGACGCCGCGUGCGGGAUGAAGGCCUUCAGGUUGUAAACCGCUGUCAGAGGGAAGGAAAUUUUGACCGAUCCUCAAAGGAAGUACGGGCUAAGUUCGUGCCAGCAGCCGCGGUAAGACGAACCGUACAAACGUUAUUCGGAAUCACUGGGCUUAAAGGGUGCGUAGGUGGUCUAUUAAGUUGGGUGUGAAAUCCCUCGGCUCAACCGGGGAACUGCGCUCAAUACUGGUAGACUUGAGGGAGAUAGAGGUGAGCGGAACUGAUGGUGGAGCGGUGAGAUGCGUUGAUAUCAUCGGGAACACCUGUGGCGAAAGCGGCUCACUGGAUCUCUUCUGACACUGAGGCACGAAAGCUAGGGGAGCGAACGGGAUUAGAUACCCUAGUAGUC